UGGCCACUUAAUCGUAAGACCUCAAAGUACAUGGAACAAUGUUUUUGCUGCAUAAAUAUCUCUUCUUAACUUUGAUACUGAGCGUCUGGUUUCUUCUCUCAAACGGCCACAUAUCUUGCAGGGACAACACAGGGAAGUGUCGAGAACGCUGUCCAGCAGAUAUGAGCUAUAUACGCAACAGAGCUGAGUGUAUGGAGGACUUCUCCCGGCCGUUACUCUGUUGUGUGAAAGACUUAUUCGGCUAAGCGACGCCCCGGAGCAUCAUAAGCUUGAACUAGAAUCGGCCGUAGCUGUUGGACGUAGCUAGUUCAAAAUAUUGACUAGAAACGUUUAUAAACGCUUAAACCGUAUCUAUAUAUUUUUGUAUAUUAUAUACAAAAUAAACCAUUCAUGUAAUUAA